GCGAAGGUGGCGGAAUUGGCAGACGCGCCGGAUUCAGGUUCCGGUGGGGUAACUCCUGUACGGGUUCAACUCCCGUCCUUCGCA
rnacentral:tRNA from 3 species